rnacentral:ncRNA from 1 species
UGGUUAGAGGCGCGGGUUUUGAUCAGUAUCCGGCGGAGGACGACAGCCGUCCUUGGAAACCGGUGAAAGGCAUAUCCGCCGAAGGCGUUCCGGGGCUGUCUGCCCGGCGCCUGGUCGCAGUGGCGAAGAGCGCUGCGAUUGUCAUCCUAUGGGAUGGAGCGCUAGC